rnacentral:rRNA from 1 species
UACAGAGGGUGCAAGCGUUAAUCGGAGUUACUGGGCGUAAAGGGCGCGUAGGCGGUUAUUUAAGUGAGAUGUGAAAUCCCUGGGCUUAACCUAGGAACUGCAUCUCAUACUGGAUAGCUGGAGUAUUGUAGAGGGUAGUGGAAUUUCCGGUGUAGCGGUGAAAUGCGUAGAGAUCGGAAGGAACACCAGUGGCGAAGGCGGCUACCUGGACAAAUACUGACGCUGAGGCGCGAGAGCGUGGGGAGCAAACAGG